CGGAACGGUACCCCGUACGUGGGGGAGUAGCUCGGCGAAAGCCGGAUUAAUACCGCAUAUGCUCUACGGAGGAAAGCAGGGGAUCUCUCGGGCAACUGAGGGACCUUGCGCUAUGGGAGCGGCCGAUGUCCGAUUAGCUUGUUGGUGAGGUAAAGGCUUACCAAGGCGACGAUCGGUAGCUGGUCUGAGAGGAUGAUCAGCCACACUGGGACUGAGACACGGCCCAG
rnacentral:rRNA from 1 species